ACUCUUUCUUUUUUGUGUAUUUCCCAAGCAAUGCCGGUGAGAUCUUGCUCACCAACGCAUGCUCCAUUAUUACACAUACAAGGGGAACACAUGCACCUUUAUGAUUGGAACAUAUAAUAUGAAGGGAUGGCGGACUUUGUGGUUGCCUAUACGGCUAUACCCAUCUAUCCGCCUCCUAAUGUUUAUACCUUCUGUACCUACCCAUGG
rnacentral:lncRNA from 1 species